rnacentral:rRNA from 1 species
GAUGAACGCUGGCGGCGUGCUUAACACAUGCAAGUCGAACGAGAAAUGGAGACGGAACCCUUCGGGCGGAAGGCUUCAUUUCGAGUGGCGGACGGGUGAGUAACGCGUGGGUAACCUGCCUCAUACAGGGGGAUAACAGUUGGAAACGACUGUUAAUACCGCAUAAGACCACAGCACCGCAUGGUGCGGGGGUAAAAACUCCGGUGGUAUGAGAUGGACCCGCGUUCGAUUAGCCAGUUGGCGGGGUAACGGCCCACCAAAGCGACGAUCGAUAGCCGAUCUGAGAGGAUGACCGGCCACAUUGGGACUGAGACACGGCCCAAACUCCUACGGGAGGCAGCAGUGGGGAAUAUUGCACAAUGGGGGAAACCCUGAUGCAGCGACGCCGCGUGAGUGAAGAAGUACUUCGGUAUGUGAAGCUCUAUCAGCAGGGAAGAAAAUGACGGUACCUGAGUAAGAAGCCCCGGUUAACUACGUG